rnacentral:misc_RNA from 1 species
AAGUCGUAACAAGGUUUCCGUAGGUGAACCUGCGGAAGGAUCAUUAACACGUAUCCACGUAUCCACCCCUCGUGCACUGUUUUCACACUCUCCCUAGAGAGUUGACAGGAGUUGGAAGGACACUCGAGCGUUUGAAUGGGAGAAGUCUUUAUUGACUCCUCAGCUCAAGUAUCCCCAUCAGCUGAGCAAUCAGCGUACAACUGUAGUCGACUCUUCUAGGCCACUAUUCUUCUUGUAAGAAAGUCUCUCCAUUCAAGAGAAAUUCUUAUGAGUUGUUUAACACACACCUUUCACCCCCUUUUUGCUAGUUGACUUUUUAUAUGUUGUUACAAUAGAUUCAUUUCUACUGUUUCACACGUUUAAUUACUUGAACGUUAAAAAAACAACUCUUAGCAAUGGAUAUCUUGGUUCUC